UCCUCCGUGGCGCAAUUGGCUAGCGCGUCUGACUGUUAAUCAGGAGGUAAUUACCAACCACGCUGGUUCUAGGUUCCUAGAAUUAGUGUACUAACAAAUAUUCAGGUUGAAAGUUCGAGCCUUUCCGGGGGAG